UAGAAGUCACCUGGUCUCUGUGUUUGUUCGAUCCUAGGGGUUUUGUCGCCUCAUUCGAGAACUCACCAGUGAAUACCUGCCUGCUCGCUCCGCCGAUUCCACUGCCUCCACUCCACCCUUCGAGCUUCCAGCUCUCUUCCAUUCCCACCUCGCAUUUACCUUCGGAACCGCUGCACACCCUCUCUCAGGAACCUGGCAUCUCACACCCACGCCUCGAAAGACCCGCACCGAAGCUUCAAGAGGAUCAGCGUGUGAAGAUCACUUUAUAAUGAUUUGAAAAAGGUUGCCAUGGCUACAGA